ACUGCGAGUGAGCGGGAAAAGCUCAAAUUUAAAAUCUGGCAGUCUCUGGCUGUCCGAGUUGUAAUUUAGAGAAGUGCUACCCGCGCUGGACCGUGUACAAGUCCUCUGGAAUGGGGCGUCAUAGAGGGUGAGAAUCCCGUCUUUGAUACGGACUACCAGUGCUUUUGUGGUGCGCUCUCGAAGAGUCGAGUUGUUUGGGAAUGCAGCUCAAAAUGGGUGGUAAAUUCCAUCUAAAGCUAAAUAUUGGCGAGAGACCGAUAGCGAACAAGUACCGUGAGGGAAAGAUGAAAAGAACUUUGGAAAGAGAGUUAAACAGUACGUGAAAUUGCUGAAAGGGAAACGCUUGAAGUCAGUCGCGUCUGCUAAGGAUCAACCUUGCUUGCUUGGUGUACUUCUUAGUAGACGGGUCAACAUCAGUUUUGACCAUUGGAUAAGGAUUAGAGGAAUGUGGCACCCUCGGGUGUGUUAUAGCCUCUAGUCGUAUACAGUGAUUGGGACUGAGGAACUCAGCACGCCGCAAGGCCGGGUUUU
rnacentral:misc_RNA from 1 species